rnacentral:rRNA from 1 species
AUUGAACGCUGGCGGCUUGCCUUACACAUGCAAGUCGAACGGUAACAGGUUAAGCUGACGAGUGGCGAACGGGUGAGUAAUGCAUCGGAACGUGCCCGGUCGUGGGGGAUAACGCAGCGAAAGCUGCGCUAAUACCGCAUACGAUCUGAGGAUGAAAGCGGGGGACGGGAAGGCCUCGCGCGAUCGGGGCGGCCGAUGUCAGAUUAGGUAGUUGGUGGGGUAAAGGCUAACCAAGACAACGAUCUGUAGCUGGUCUGAGAGGACGACCAGCCACACUGGGACUGAGACACGGCCCAGACUCCUACGGGAGGCAGCAGUGGGGAAUUUUGGACAAUGGGCGAAAGCCUGAUCCAGCAAUGCCGCGUGCAGGAAGAAGGCCUUCGGGUUGUAAACUGCUUUUGUACGGAGCGAAAAGGUCUCCUCUAAUACAGGGGGCUCAUGACGGUACCGUAAGAAUAAGCACCGGCUAACUACGUGCCAGCAGCCGCCGUAAAAC